ACUGAACGCUGGCGGCAGGCCUAACACAUGCAAGUCGAACGAGUGGCGGACGGGUGAGUAAUGUCUGGGAAACUGCACGAAGGAGGGGGAUAACUAGUGGAAACGGUAGCUAAUACCGCAUCCCAUCGGAUGUGCCCAGAUGGGAUUAACUAGUAGGUGGGGUAACGGCUCACCUAGGCGACGAUCCCUAGCUGGUCUGAGAGGAUGACCAGCAACACAGGAACGGAGUCACGGACCAGACUCCUACGCGAGGCAGGAGUGGGGAAUAUUGCACAAUGGGCGCAAGCCUGAUGCAGCCAUGGCGCGUGAGUGAAGAAGGUUUUCGGUUCGUAAAGUACUUUCAGCGAGGAGGCGUUACUCGCAGAGGAAGCGCCGGCUAACUCCGUGCCAGCCGCCACAGUAAUAG
rnacentral:rRNA from 1 species